UGAACAGGGGAACGAGCUACGGAGGCGAGUCGACGGCGGCGAGGAAAGGCGACGGCGGCGGGGAAAGAACUAGCAAAUCAAGAAGGCGCCGACGAGAUCCUCCUCCGGCGACUGGUCCCCGGUUGGUGUCGAUGACAAUGUUUGGAAGCUGCUGGACGGAUGAAUGAUCCAAUCGACUGUUUUUUUGGAAGGAGCAUAAAAAGAUUAUACCUGGCAAAAUAUUCUUGUAAACGUAACGAGGCAUGUGUUUUAGCUCCGAUCUGUCGAGCAUAUAUUUAAACUCUGUUCAUGUUCAAUAAAAUCUGAAUGACAUUGAGUUCA